rnacentral:rRNA from 1 species
CCUACGGGAGGCAGCAGUGAAGAAUAUUGGUCAAUGGACGAGAGUCUGAACCAGCCAAGUAGCGUGAAGGAUGACUGCCCUAUGGGUUGUAAACUUCUUUUAUAUGGGACUAAAAUGUUCCACGUGUGGGAUUUUGUAUGUACCAUAUGAAUAAGGCUCGGCUAACUCCGUGCCAGCAGCCGCGGUAAUACGGAGGAUCCGAGCGUUAUCCGGAUUUAUUGGGUUUAAAGGGAGCGUAGGUGGAUUGUUAAGUCAGUUGUGAAAGUUUGCGGCUCAACCGUAAAAUUGCAGUUGAAACUGGCAGUCUUGAGUACAGUAGAGGUGGGCGGAAUUCGUGGUGUAGCGGUGAAAUGCUUAGAGAUCACGAAGAACUCCGAUUGCGAAGGCAGUUCACUGGACUGCAACUGACACUGAGGCUCGAAAGUGUGGGUAUCAAACAGGAUUAGAUACCCUGGUAGUC